rnacentral:rRNA from 1 species
UACGUAGGGGGCAAGCGUUAUCCGGAUUUACUGGGUGUAAAGGGAGCGUAGACGGAAUUGCAAGUCUGAUGUGAAAAUCCGGGGCCCAACCCCGGAACUGCAUUGGAAACUGUAUUUCUAGAGUGUCGGAGAGGCAAGUGGAAUUCCUGGUGUAGCGGUGAAAUGCGUAGAUAUCAGGAGGAACACUAGUGGCGAAGGCGGCUUGCUGGACGAUGACUGACGUUGAGGCUCGAAAGCGUGGGGAGCAAACAGG